CAAACUCUUGGACAUUCCUCAAAAACAGGGGUUUUCAAAGUAUGAAAGGGUGAGCCCCCCUCCAAGGAGCACAAUGCCUGCUGCGCCC